CAAGAGCGAGGGCCCUCGUGGCCCGAACCUCCAACCCCAUGUUGUCCGACUCUGUUGCCUCGGGGGCGACCCGGCCCUCCUGGGCGUCGGGGCCCCGGUGGUCCAUCUCAACCCUGCAUCUGUGCGUCUGAGUAAAUAUUUGAAUCAAUCA
rnacentral:misc_RNA from 1 species